UUUCCUAUUCCCAGCUCGGAGGAAGAGAAUUGUUGAUUUCCCCUUCUUUUUUCUUACAUGGAAAUCAAAGAUUUGAUUAUCGACUUAGAAAGCAAAUAUCUGGCCAGACUUCAAGACUUAUGCUCGCAGCGUGGGACAGCUCUCGUAAGGGUGAUUCAGGGUAGCUUCUGGAGAACAAGACGUCAGAUCUCCAAACCAGCUUUCUUUGUGCUAAUGUAGGAAGGGCGAGUAAGAGUAAAGGUAAGAGUCCAGACACUUCUCUGUCCAUCGGCCUGUCCUGCCGACUCUGGUGUGAGUGUGAAGCUGUGGCAAGAGGGGUUUCCCAUUCCUAUUUGACCUGGUGGACACCAGCUUUCCUAGGAAAUUGCUGAUGUUGCUGAGGAGGCGGCAGUAUCAAAGGCCUUGUUGAUGAAGGUACAACAAGCUGGGGAGGCUUUGGCAUUUCUGCACAGUGCUGCUCCCUGACUGUCACUCCAGACUCAGAUUCUGAAAGAAGCAAAGCAAGCUAGAGGAAAACUGGAUGUCCAGUAUCCAAAACUCCGUGUUACAG